CACGUGAUGGAGGGGUGGGCUUGGGAAGGAGAGGCAGUCAGGGUCCUUGAGUUCUGGCCCUGGGUGUGAUUGGAGGAAAGGGCUCAGCCAUCCUGGGGGCCUCAAGGGUUGGACUGGGUGGUGUCCUUGAGACUAGGAGGAUCAGAGUGGGCUGGUGGGAAACAGGAAGUCUUUGAGCUGAGACUGCUCUGCCUUCCCUGGAGCUCGGAUUCUCUCCUUUUUCCUUUUGACCUGAGUUCUCUCUGCCUUCCCUGGGACCUAAGAUCGCUCUGCCUUCCAGAAGCCCACUCUGUGCAUGCAGAUCCCAGGUUGGAGUCCUUUCCCUGAGGGCAAGGCCUGGGUCUUCCUAACUCCUAUGGGUCCUUGCCCUCUGUAAAUUCCAGUUGGGCAGCCUCCUGCCUAUGAAGAGGGGAGAAAGAGCUCUUCUCUGGGAUCCAUCUCCCUCCCCAGCUCAGUCUGCAGAGGAACAAAACCUACCCCAAGAAGGGAGCCUGGAUUGAGAGAGAAUGGCUCCUGGGAGCAGCCAAGCCCCAGCCCAGCUCUAUGGCCUAUGACUUUUGAUGAUUCAGGAGAGAGUGACAUUCAAGGAUGUGGCUGUGGACUUCACCCAGGAGGAGUAGAGCCUCUUGGACCAUCCUCAGAAGGCGUUGUACAAGGGGGUCAUGCUGGAGAAUGCCUGGAACCUACUAUCCCUGGGGUUCCCAGAGAAGAUGUGGUCUCUUAUUUUGAGCAAAAGGAAGCACCAUGGAUGCUGGAGCAAGAAGGCCUGAGGAGCUGCUGUCUAGAAGGAGACAUGAGACUGGA